UUUGCCUUCUGGGAGGCUUGAGUGUGCUGUGCCAGCUGGACGGGGUUAGCAACAAUGUGGAGCAAAUAAGGCAGUGCCUCUGGCAGACUGCAACAGCCCCCUGAGCCCACCUGCCCUCCUGAGUGCCAUGCGGUGGUCUGCCAGCCCUUGUAUGGCCAGAGCAUGUGCAGGCCAGACUGUGCAGUGAGUUCAGGGUUGGAGCCAAACUCCCUGCCUGUACCUAUAGGCCUGACCAUGGCUGCUGGAAAAGCCUCCUGAAGAUUGUGUCCAGGUCAAAGUGGGCUGGCCAGGACUGCCAGCAACAUUUCAACAGGACACUCUGGAGGCAAGCCCACGGCCAGGACAGUCCUGCUGGCAGGUGGCUCUGCAAGACCCUGAGCUGCAGCUGCUGGCCUGCUGAGGCCAUGUCAGACUACGAGAACGAGGAUGAGUGCUGGAGCACCCUGGAGAGCUUUCGGGUGAAGCUCAUCUCAGUCAUCGAUCCCUCACGCAUCACACCCUACCUGCGGCAGUGCAAGGUCCUCAACCCCGAUGACGAGGAGCAGGUGCUCAGCGACCCCAACCUGGUCAUCCGCAAGAGGAAAGUGGGUGUGCUCCUGGAUAUCCUGCAGCGGACAGGCCACAAGGGUUACGUGGCAUUCCUUGAGAGCCUGGAACUCUACUAUCCGCAGCUGUACAAGAAGGUCACGGGCAAGGAGCCAGCGCGUGUCUUCUCCAUGAUCAUUGAUGCAUCAGGGGAGUCAGGCCUGACGCAGCUGCUGAUGACCGAGGUCAUGAAGCUGCAGAAGAAAGUGCAGGACCUGACAGCGCUGCUGAGCUCCAAGGAUGACUUCAUCAAGGAGCUGCGUGUGAAAGACAGCUUGCUGCGCAAGCACCAGGAGCGUGUGCAGAGGCUCAAGGAGGAGUGUGAGUCCUACGGCCGGGAACUCAAACGCUGCAAGGACGAGAACUAUGACCUGGCCAUGCGCCUGGCCCACCUGAGCGAGGAGAAGGGCGCUGCGCUAAUGCGGAACCGAGACCUGCAGCUUGAGGUCGACCGGCUCAAGCACAGCCUCAUGAAGGCAGAGGACGACUGCAAGGUGGAGCGCAAGCACACGCUGAAGCUCAGGCAUGCCAUGGAGCAGCGGCCCAGCCAGGAGCUGCUGUGGGAGCUGCAGCAGGAGAAGGCCCUGCUGCAGGCCCAGGUGCAAGAGCUGGAGGCCUCUGUGCAGGAGAGGAAGCUGAACAGGAACAGCCCCUACAUCCAGGUGCUGGAGGAGGACUGGCGCCAGGCACUGCGGGACCACCAGGAGCAGGCCAACACCAUCUUCUCCCUGCGCAAGGACCUUCGCCAGGGCGAGGCCCUCCGCACCCGGUGCAUGGAGGAGAGGGAGAUGCUUGAGCUGCAGUGCCUGGCUUUGCGCAAGGACUCCAAGAUGUACAAGGACCGCAUCUCGUCCAUCCUGCAACAGAUGGAGGAGGUCGCCAUUGAGCGAGACCAGGCCAUGGCCUCUCGGGAGGAGCUGCAUGCACAGUGUGCCCGGAGCCUUCAGGAGAAGGAUGAGCUGCGCAAGCAGAUCCGGGAACUGGGGGAGAAGGCUGACGAGCUGCAGCUGCAGCUGUUCCAGUGCGAGGCCCGGCUGCUGGCUACCGAGGGCAGGCUCAAGCAGCAGCAGCUGGACUCGCUCGUCUUGAGCUCUGACCUGGAGGACAGCUCACCCUGCAAUUCCCAGGAGCUCUCACUGCCCCGGGACCUGGAGGAUGCCCAACUCUCAGACAAAGGUGGCCAGGCUGAUGGGGAGAGUGCGGAGCAGCCCCUUGUGGCUCUGCAGAAGGAGCAGCUUUCACUGACCCCCCACGUAAGGCUGCCUGGGGCCCUGCUGGCCUCAGUAACUGCUCUCAGGGAGCGGGGAAGCCUCUACCUGGACCCUGUCCCAGGGGUCCCUGAACAGCUGGGAGGAUCACAAGGUCUUUGCAGGGGGUGGGACUCCUCCCUUAGAGACACAGACUUGGGGCGGGGCUUGGAAGGUAGGGCAGCCGCGAAAGGACACCCCCUUUCUGGCCUCUUGGGGCCUUUGCCGCUGAUGCAGCAUUUACCUGAAUGGGAAUGAGGCUGCCUUGCCCCACUGCACAGGAGUCCUCGAGCCAGAGGGUCACGUGCUUUGUAGUAGCAGGAUCCCGGGCCAGAGCCGGCUGGCCAGAGGGCAGCCCCAUGUCCUGUCACCUUGGGUGCAGCAGGACCCAUGGCUAGGUGGGCUCGGCCUCCCACCAGUUGAAGUCCCAGUGUGGGAAGGCCUUGCUCCUCUGCAGGAGGGCCCGAGCGGCGGGGAGCCCCCGGAGAAGGAGAGGCGGCGGCUCAAGGAGAGCUUCGAGAACUACCGCAGGAAGCGGGCGCUCAGGAAGAUGCAGAACGGCUGGCGGCAGGGCGAGGGGG